CCUACGGGUGGCAGCAGUGGGGGAUAUUGCACAAUGGGGGGAACCCUGAUGCAGCGACGCCGCGUGGGUGAAGAAGCGCCUCGGCGCGUAAAGCCCUGUCAGCAGGGAAGAAAAUGACGGUACCUGAAGAAGAAGCCCCGGCUAACUACGUGCCAGCAGCCGCGGUAAUACGUAGGGGGCAAGCGUUAUCCGGAUUUACUGGGUGUAAAGGGGGCGCAGACGGCGAUGCAAGCCAGGAGUGAAAGGCCGGGGCUCAACCCCGGGACUGCUUUGGAAACUGCGUGGCUGGAGUGCAGGAGGGGCAGGUGGAAUUCCUGGUGUAGCGGUGAAAUGCGUAGAUAUCAGGAGGAACACCGGUGGCGAAGGCGGCCUGCUGGACUGCAACUGACGUUGAGGCCCGAAAGCGUGGGGAGCAAACAGGAUUAGAUACCCCAGUAGUC
rnacentral:rRNA from 1 species